UACAGGGGGUGCAAACGUUGCUCGGAAUCAUUGGGCGUAAAGCGCACGUAGGCGGUUCGUUGUGUCGGAUGUGAAAGCCCUUGGCUUAACCGAGGAAGUGCAUCCGAAACUGGCGAGCUAGAGUACGAAAGAGGAUCGCGGAAUUCCCGGUGUAGAGGUGAAAUUCGUAGAUAUCGGGAGGAACACCGGUGGCGAAGGCGGCGAUCUGGGUCGAUACUGACGCUGAGGUGCGAAAGCGUGGGGAGCAAACAGG
rnacentral:rRNA from 1 species